rnacentral:rRNA from 1 species
GUGUCAGCAGCCGCGGUAAUACGUAGGGUCCGAGCGUUGUCCGGAGUUACUGGGCGUAAAGCGCGCGCAGGCGGCGGUGUAAGCAUGGCGUGAAAGCCCCAGGCUCAACCUGGGAGGGUCGUCGUGGACUGCACCGCUUGAGGGCGGUAGGGGCUGGUGGAAUGCCUGGUGUAGUGGUGAAAUGCGUAGAGAUCAGGCGGAACACCCGUGGCGAAGGCGGCCAGCUGGGCCGUCCCUGACGCUGAGGCGCGAAGGCGUGGGGAGCGAACGGGAUUAGAAACCCCCGUAGUCC